rnacentral:rRNA from 1 species
GAUAAACGCUGGCGGCGUGCUUUAUGCAUGCAAGUCGAACGGUUCUGAUUUAUCAGGAUAGUGGCAAACGGGUGAGUAACACGUAAGUAACCUGCCCCUAAGUACGGAAUAACUCCGGGAAACCGGGGACAAUACCGUAUGUGGUGCUGGAGGUAGUGCUCCAUCACCAAAGCUUUCGGGCGCUUGGGGAGGGGCUUGCGUCCUAUUAGCUAGUUGGUAGGGUAACGGCCUACCAAGGCGAUGAUGGGUAGCUGGUUUGAGAGGACGGACAGCCACACUGGGACUGAGACACGGCCCAGACUCCUACGGAGGCAG